GAUGAACGCUGGCGGCGUGCCUAAUACAUGCAAGUCGAGCGAACAGACGAGGAGCUUGCUCCUCUGACGUUAGCGGCGGACGGGUGAGUAACACGUGGAUAACCUACCUAUAAGACUGGGAUAACUUCGGGAAACCGGAGCUAAUACCGGAUAAUAUAUUGAACCGCAUGGUUCAAUAGUGAAAGACGGUUUUGCUGUCACUUAUAGAUGGAUCCGCGCCGCAUUAGCUAGUUGGUAAGGUAACGGCUUACCAAGGCGACGAUGCGUAGCCGACCUGAGAGGGUGAUAGGCCACACUGGAACUGAGACACGGUCCAGACUCCUACGGGAGGCAGCAGUAGGGAAUCUUCCGCAAUGGGCGAAAGCCUGACGGAGCAACGCCGCGUGAGUGAUGAAGGUCUUCGGAUCGUAAAACUCUGUUAUUAGGGAAGAACAAAUGUGUAAGUAACUAUGCACGUCUUGACGGUACCUGAUCAAAAAGCCACGGCUAACUACGUG
rnacentral:rRNA from 1 species